GAUGAACGCUAGCUACAGGCUUAACACAUGCAAGUCGAGGGGCAGCAUGGUCUUAGCUUGCUAAGGCCGAUGGCGACCGGCGCACGGGUGAGUAACACGUAUCCAACCUGCCGUCUACUCUUGGACAGCCUUCUGAAAGGAAGAUUAAUACAAGGUGGCAUCAUGAGUUCACAUGUUCACAUGAUUAAAGGUAUUCCGGUAGACGAUGGGGAUGCGUUCCAUUAGAUAGUAGGCGGGGUAACGGCCCACCUAGUCUUCGAUGGAUAGGGGUUCUGAGAGGAAGGUCCCCCACAUUGGAACUGAGACACGGUCCAAACUCCUACGGGAGGCAGCAGUGAGGAAUAUUGGUCAAUGGGCGAGAGCCUGAACCAGCCAAGUAGCGUGAAGGAUGACUGCCCUAUGGGUUGUAAACUUCUUUUAUAAAGGAAUAAAGUCGGGUAUGUAUACCCGUUUGCAUGUACUUUAUGAAUAAGGAUCGGCUAACUCCGUG
rnacentral:rRNA from 1 species